CACACACACUGCCCCCCAUACACACACUCACUGCCCCUAUACACACACACUUCCCCCCACACACACACACUGCCCCCCAUACACACACACACUGCCACCCAUACACACUCACACAUACACAUACACUGCAUCCCUCACACAUACCAUUGGGUUUUAUUUCUGGCUGACGCCGGUCCGCGAAAUAUUACUCCUCUUUUCGCUGGUCCCCGGGUGCUAAAAGGUUGCAGAACGCUGUUUUUUAUCUUACAUAUGCCUUCAUUAUUAUAAAAGUGUAAUGUUUGUACAGGAUUCAUGAAUGUUUGAAAUGUCCUGUGAUGCCAUAUAUGUCUAAUUGUGUAUGUAUGACUGUGGAUGGAGAAUUUGUUAGCUUGCCC